rnacentral:lncRNA from 1 species
ACUCUUUUCUCUUGACAGUUUAGUUUAUUCUUUUUUCUGUGUUUAGAAAGCCCCCUCCCACUCAUUAGCCUCUACUAACACCCAAGGCAGGGGUACAGAACAAGGACUGAGAACAAACCAAGCUCUCCUCUUGAAAGCAAACCAAAGUAAAACUGCAGUCAUUACUGGUGCAUACGGUGCCAUUACAGGAAACUUGAGGAGGAAAAUUGAAUAAUUGAAGCCACCAUUUACUUGACAUCAACUCUUUGCUAGGAAACAGUGGGAAAAGGCAAGCACCGCUCUCAGCUAUCUGGAAAUUGCUCUGACCCAGUGUGUAAAACCUCUUGGGCACUCAACAAAAGGACAGCUCAAGCAUGUUUCCUUCCUGAGGACAAAGGCUUUGUUUCUGUGAGGAAGCAUGUCCAGACAAGGCACCAUGCCAGAGCAAGAUAAUUGUGCUACAAAAUUGAUGCCAUACAAAUGGACAAAGAAUUUGCAGCCAAAAAUGUACAAAAAAGAAUGUGAGACACUUGAGGGCAGGAGUGGAACUGUCUUCUUCACUAUUUCAAGGGCCAGGAAAGGGAGUGACAUUGAGAAGAGACUGAAUAAAAAGUUAUUAAAUGAAGGAAUGGAUUUAAAAGCACCCUGAUCUGCAGUGUACCUGAAACAGCAUAUACUUCAUAUCACAACUGUAGUAUCUUCAUCCUUGCUCAUGUUUUUUCCACUGCACUAAAGUGCUUCUUUAAAUAGAAGAAUCAAAAUAGUGGGAUUCAAUGAUAAGUAGAUGCUAUUUUGAAAUUUUAUUUUGAUUAGAAAUGGAUUGCAGUAAUAUUUUUACUUUCUGUGGAAUGGUUAUGUACAUAAUAAAUACUCUGCCU